UCUGCCGGAGCAGCGGCUGGAGCUGUUUGCGAUGUAAGAUUUUUUUUUCCAUGGCUGCUCUGGGGGAGUGUGGCUACUAUUUCAGCACGCCUCAGGCCAAUAGCUUUCCCUCCCUUUACUCAGCAGUGUCUGGUGAAAUUCAGCAGCAGCAGAAACUGCAGCUGAGCCAGGGACCGGCCUGGCCCAGCAGCCCCACUGUGCAAGGCUCAGCGAGCCCUCCAAGGGGUUCAGCUCCGGGAAGGGGCUCCUGACACUUCACAGUCUCCAUCCCUCCCCCGAGAACCGGAGAGCUCCGGCCACCCCCGCUCCCCCACAGCCUCGUCCGGCCUGGUGGGGAAGGAGGCUGAACUGGAGCUCUGUUACCUCUUCAAAGCCGGAAACUAAAGAGAGCAGAAAUUUCCGGGCUUAGGUCUUAAGUCUAACAAAGAAUUAGUCUUCAUCAUCCUGAAUAAAUGAAUGUGCCAUCAAAUACUCCUGUCAUCUAGGAUGGUAAGUUUAGAAUCCUGUAUCCAAAAGAUCAACCUUAUGACAAAUAGUAAACACAAAAUACAGUAAGUAAUUAUAAAAGAAGGAAAAGUUUACUGAAUUUCUUUCUUAAACUUCAGCAGCAGUUUCCCUAGGUUUUGUGUCAUAAUUUUUCUCGUGUUGGUCAGCUAGAAUAAAAGAUCAGAUCAAUCAAAGUUGGUAUGUUUGAAUAAAAGUGGGUAGGAUGCUAAGAAUAAUCCUAUGGACAAGACAGAGAAGAGGAAAAAAGAAUGAGCAACAAAGGAAAAGCAUGACAGAGGUUGCAGAUGACUAAAGAAAACAGGUUUAUGAAUUAAAAGAAAAUUCAGCUGUCCAAAACAGACCACAGUUUUGGCAGAUCUCACAUCCACCAUUACUGUUACUUGCAUGGCAGAUAAAAGACACUGAUACUGAUUCAGUAACCAUUUAAUGACUAUCCAUAAAAGCAUAUUAUUAGUUUUCAUACUAUAGAUGGAAAUAGAGACUUUUGCUUCUCUAAAGAUACCUUCUUGAGGCUCUCAUUACCUGGACCUUAGCCACGACACUUAGAAUGAUAUUAAUAGAUUUCUCUUGGCUCUUGAAGCAUUUUGGAAGUGGGUAGAGUAUGUGCCAACCUACAAUCUAGCGAGCAUCUGCUGCACCCUACCAUUACAAAUACUGCUGUUCUCACUCUACAGCUGCUUCAUUGAUGGGAUUCUAGGACAAGGGUUUGAUUGCUGAUGGUUAGUAAUAGCUAUUACAUGUGCUUCAAGAGAGAAGUAAGAAAGAAGGUAAAAGCACCUUAAUACCACACCCAAUAGCCACCAAUUGAAACAGGCUUGCAGCAGCCUCCCAGAAAAGUGGAAAGGCUUGCUGUGGUUCUCUUAUAUUUGCAGAGACAUUUUUAUAUACAUUUGGCAUAUUCAAAUAUACUGGUCCUCUGAUGGAGAUGGGAACAAAUCCUUUCAGCAGGAUGUUUUUAUGCCAUGUGGGAAUGGUUUGUAAAUUAUAUGCUUUCUCCUUCAUCAAAGAAAAGGCCAAAUGGUCAGACAAGGUCAAAGGGGAGAUUACUUUCUGCUUUUGGAACAAGGAAGAGUAAGGGAAGGCAGCCAUGGACAUAAUCCACAGGCCACAAUGCCACACAAGUGGUGAAACAAACACUAGUGACCAAGCACUACAAAAACAAGCUUCAGAGGCUUGCAAAAAGGAACUGGAGUGCACGAGGCAGAAGGUUUACAAGCAUGACAGUUGUAGCUGAAUGGCUGAGCUCCAGGCUAUCCCCGCUGGAUGGUGGCAGCCUGAGCUGCUGGGGCAGUGCUGAUCUGACCCUCAGUGGCAGCUGCAGGGCCGGCCUGAGACUACAUGUCAGCUUCAGAGACCUGGUUAAGCUUUCAGUGAUGAGCAGGAGGGAAGGGGAAAAGCAUAAUCAGACUGGUCUUUGGAGGCCCACAGUCCUUCUCACUGAGCUAAAUCAAACAGUGCUGAGACUUUCUUGAGUAAUAGUCAAUAAAAAUGGUCCCUUAAUUUGUAAGUCUAGCAAAUAUGACUUGGGGAUGAUUAAGUAAAGGUGAUUGAUGAUUAGUGGGAAAGGCCCUUCCUGACACAGGACCCCAGAAAAAAAUCCCAGGAGCCCUUAAUCCUGAGAGUCACAGACCCUUGGGAGCAUGAGUGUUAAAAGACUGUUUUGGACAGGGUGUAAAUUAAAGGAAUAUUGGAAAUGUUUAAGUGACAAAGAAAAAAUCUUACAUGUGGAGCAGCUGAUAUCUAGCAAUAGACCUGAGAUUGCUAAUAGCACAGAGCUUUCUCCUUACAGUUAGUACCAGGAUAAAGAGAAUAUCUAGAAAGCUGGACUUGUGUAUAUUCUGCUAUGUUUGUAAUUCAGAAUUAAUAUAGAACAUAGAGUCAUUGCUUUUACAAAAUCCUUUUACUGACCAUAACUGUAUUUUAAUCCAUUCCCAGGAUGUUGGUAUGCAUUUAUAAAAUUGAAAAUCUAGCCCCACACACAGUGGCACUGCACUGGUGCAUCAGUUUGUAUCACUAUUAUGAUAAUGAUUAAAUUUAGAAAGGGAGAAGUUACGUAUGAGAUUGCUUAGGGCAUACGAUCAAAAAUCUUAGCAGAGAUGCCAUUUAUAAAUAGUUGUUAGCUUAAGGUUGGAUGAGAACAUUUCUGGCACAAAACAGCUACACAGCAAAAUAAACACGAAGUAUAAAUGUGUUCUUCAAAUCAGCAGCCAAGCAGCUCUAGUUUGUCCAUAAAGCAUUCCAGAUUCUGGCUGAAAUUCCAAGGCUGCAAGUACAUUAGAACUGUUAGAGAUAGUUUGCUGCAAAUCAUUGUAUAAUAGCAGUAUCUGUAACUCAUUUAGGAAGUUGCCGUUUACUCAGAAUGGCUCUCCUACCAAAAUAAGUUACCUGGCAUAGAGCAGUUAAUGAGAUUCUAAAGGAUUUUCAAAUAAAUGGUGAGUUUUUACUUAAAUGACAGCAUCUGUCCCAUGAUAAUUUGUAUUAAUACAAUCCUUUGCUAUACUUUCAUAUAAACAGUGAGGAACUGUAGUGAUGUUUAUUUUAUUUCUUAAAAAUACUAUUUGAUCUAGAAUUCUAAAUAUGGUAAUGCACAGAUAACUCAGGAUAAAAAAACCAACCCUUUUCUCAUUUUUAUCAGAUAUCGAGAAAUUAGUGGCACCUUAAGAUUGUUGAUCAGCAAAUAGAUUAAGCCAAAAAAGGUGAAAGGGCUCUUUGUCUACUGUAAGAAAUACAGCCAAGACAGUGGCUGAGUUAGGUAUGGCAGAAACAAGGCAGAACAUACACAAGCAUUACCAUUGCUGAUUCCAGUUUAAAAAAGUAAAUUAGCAGUAAUAAAUUGUAAUAAACUGUAAUAAAUUGUGCAUGCUUCUGUAGUAAUAAUUGUGUAUAUAUGUUUUCCCAGAGUCAUUCCCAAGUACAUGGAACCUCUCAGGAUGCAUGUGUUAAUAAAUAUUCUGCUGCUAAAUUGUAAGAGGUGCAUCAUUAGCUAUAGCUCCAGUUCACCCUGUCUUGUAACUGUAAACUUCUCCUAGUCAAAGAUGACAGAUCCUCAGACCUCAUAGAAACCCUUGGAAGGAGUACAUUGUCCUUGAGACAUACCUAGUUAUGCCAAGCUUGAGGAGGUCCCAAAAAUGCAAAACACCCACAUCUUCAUAUUUCAGCUGACAUCCAGCUGAGUGCUCUCAACAGUGUUGUUUUCACUUUUUUGUUGUGCUGAGGGAAGUGCAAUCUGCCAGGCCUCAGCCUACACACUGCCUUCUCUCUGCCAAGUCUGUUCCACAGAGAAUAUAUGGGCAGCAGCCUCUCAGCUGUCCAGGGGAGCAGGGCUGCAAUCCAGCCAAUCCUGUACAGACACCUGUCCACAACAAGCGGCUGCACAGAGGUGGCACUAUGCCACAGACACACCAUAGUAAGUAUUAGGGGUUGGUUCUCAUCAAACCGUAUCAAUUUCUGAAGCAUAGUAAGUCAUUCCAGAGCAAAGACUGCCACUGUGGGCUGCCUAAUUAGAAAUUUAAUUAGGAGAAACUGUCCAGUAAGUUUUGACAUUUCACUUGUUCCAUGAAUUGCCACCUUCUUUUAUUUCAAGCAGCCAGCUUGAAUCACUUGCUGUUAAACUGAUGGUUUCCCUUUUAUGGUUUACAGAUUUUGCAGCUAAUUGUGAAGAAAACCAUUUUUGGAAUGCCUGGGUAGUACAGGCGUGAAUCAUAGCAGGAAGCCAUUGCUUCUGUCUCCCAACAUGUAUCAUAGAACUAUUUUCUUCCACCCCUUUUGUAGUACAGUACAUUCUACACUGUGAUUCAUUUUCAUGCAAAAAUAGAAACAAAUGAUGACUGUGUUCACUUCACAACAGAGAAGAAAGAACUGGCAUCCCAUAAUUGCCAGGUUUGGCGGCAUUGUAACAAAUUGCUGCACACAUGGCCUUGAGUGAGUGUCAGCUGUAGAGAGGUUAAUAGACCCCUAACACAUGCUUCCUAAAAAAUAUGAUUUUUUUAAAAGCCAAAUUCUGGUCCUUGGGGAAGAUCCAAAAUAACACAUUGAUAUUUUGUGCCAUUUUGGAUGUUGUAAUACUGAUAAUGCCAUACCUAAAAGCAAAAUAAAAUGCUGCUGUUUGCAAUACUGAGCUAGGUGCCUAUCUUCCCUAUGAAAGGAAUGAAGGGAACAAAAAAGCACCUGGAAAUUGGAUGUACAGUCUACAGAGUUCUGGGAUGUGGGAGGUAAGCUGCUUUGUUCAGGCACUUUGUUAAUCUCUUCCAUCAGUCCUACCUGUGCCUAACAUGGCUGCCCUUCAGUCUGGAGCAUGCACCUAGUUGGGAUGUGGGUAGAGAAAGUUUAAGCCUUCCUGCAGAAGAUCAUGUAGGGAUUCCCUUAGGAGCCUAUCUCAGCCUGCAACAGAUGUCCAUUUUGUGAAGUGCAGUAAUGACAGGAGACUUUGCCAUUUUCCAGCUGUUCAGCAUGGCCCAUCAUCUAAUUCUCCUGGCAGAAGGGACUGCAGUCACACUUGGCAUUUUCAAUUUAGUAAAUUCAGUCAGGUAAACUGUGGGCACCAGUUUUUAAAUCCCAGUCUCUCUGUCUGAAGCGAUUGCCCCUUCUGUAAUACUCCAGUGGUAACUUGAGCAUUCUUCAGUGAGAAUACAUCAAGCUGCAGGUUUGGAGGUCUUUUUUUUUGCUUUUCUUUCUUUACUCGGAAGAGUGUGACUAGAGAGCUAUUCAGUGGGGUGCCAAACCCACAGAUGGGAAGUAUAGUUAUACCAGUUGGUAUUGCCUGUGCAGUGAUAGCUGACAAUUUAAUAAACAACAUACCCAAAAUACUGAAUGAAGUAGUAAAUUGGAGGUGCAGUGGCCUUCAGCUUGAUCUCUUGCAGUAAAUCAAGAACUGUAAAUCAGAGGCCAGAGAAGUCAUACUGCUACUGAAGCUAUCAGAGCUGGCCUCAAUACUGAAAAGGCUGAAGGCAUUUUAAAGUUUAUGGAUUUGUCAUUUAAGCAAGAAGAAAACUUUACAGAUUUUUCUUUUUUCUGCCACAUGGACAUGAUAUACAUCCAAAGCACUCAUUCCUGUUUUCAGCAGCAGAAAUAUACAUCCUUUGGCUCAUCUACAAUCUGAAUUCCUCUUAACCACACCACCAAAACACACCUCCUUGUAAAUCUGGCAGAUACUCAUAAUUCCUUUAAAUCCUUAGAAGGGAAGAAAUAAAGGGAAGAAUGUUUAUCUUGUCUGUUUUUAGAGGAUAGUUAACAUAUAUUGCUUUUCACUGUGCACACCAGAAAGGACCUUCAAGAUUGAAUAGCCACAAAAAGAAAGCAAUUGUGUUUUAGUAGCCACCUGAAGCUAUUUUGGCUGUAAAUCCUAUAAACAUGAGCUGAUGAGUUGCCUUUUUUUUGGCAGCCAUCUCAUUGCAAUUAAAAAGACAAUUCCUGCAAUACAGUUCUUUCCGUUCUUUGCAAGCUGUGUUUAAAACCAAUACAUUGGUGUGCCACAAAGCACAAAAGCCACAGGUCUAAGCCAUGGGGGGUAACAGGACCUCCCACAUCAGCUGAGAUGAAGUUGCUGUUCAUUCAGGGUAUUAAUAGAUGAUCUUAUCACACUUUUUUGCAACAAUUUAAGGAGUUACUAACACCUUAUUUGUGGCUGCCAUACUCACAGUGAAAUCAAGAGAAUGUACUCAGUGCCUCAACUGCUUCAGUGUGAAGUCUGUUGGUUUAGGUAAAAUUUCACUUCACCUGCAAUAAAGCAGCUGGGGUGGGGCACACCUUCUGUUCUGCUUGUUUUGCUGUGGAAAGGGGCAACUUCCAAGAUGGCAACUGGGGCAGGUAACUUCAUAGGCCACCACAGAGACAUUCACUGGAUCUCAUUUAGCAGUGCCUCUAGUCUCUGGCAAAUUCAUUUAAAUAAGGCAGCACCUCAUAACUCUCCAGAUCAUCAGCUCAGCUAGUGCUAAGCUGAUUUGAAUUAUUUCUCAUGUGCUCAGGUCACACAUAGAACUCCUAUGCCUCAGCAAACACACAGCAAUUUAUGUACAUGUUUUGUAUUUCAGUUGUCCAUGCAUAUUUUGUUAGUGGAAAUAUUCAUUUGCAUAGUACUCACUUGAAGUAAAUUUUCCUCAGGACUGCAGAACAAAACAAACCACCUGGACUGAAAAAGAAGCAAUGCUGGAAGAGAGCUGAGGGUUUAAUGCCCUGGUAUACUGUUAAUGUCCUGGAAGGAAAAGUCAGUACAGACAGCACAACGACAGGACCUUCAAGCAACUGAUACUUCCCAGACUUCGACACGACAAAGAAUAUAGUGGAACUGAAGAUGAACUUGAAAACUGCCUUUAAUCUGCCUGGUGAGGAUGGAUGGCUUCCUCAGAGAAUCAACAGAUGACAAUCCUCUAAUAUUUUUUAUCAGCAACCUUUUAAAGUGCAAUGCGUGUAUAAAUAAACGCCAUUAUUAAAUGCAUGGAAAAAUGCCUAGCAUUCCUAGAGUUGAAAGUGCAAAUCAAUUAUGCAGUGUCUUACUGCUACCAUCUU